rnacentral:rRNA from 1 species
GUAAGGAAUCUUCCCCAAUGGGCGCAAGCCUGAGGGAGCGACGCCGCGUGGAUGACGACGCGCUUCGGCGUGUAAAAUCCUUUUCCCCGCGAUGAGAUGGACAGUAGCGGGGGAAUAAGCCACGGCUAACUACGUGCCAGCAGCCGCGGUAAUACGUAGGUGGCAAGCGUUGUCCGGAAUUACUGGGUGUAAAGCGCGUGUAGGCGGCAGACCAAGUCGGCGGUGAAAGCGCCCGGCUCAACUGGGCGAGGUCCGUGGAAACUGGUCAGCUAGAGGACGGUAGAGGCGAGUGGAAUUCCCGGUGUAGUGGUGAAAUGCGUAGAGAUCGGGAGGAACACCUGUGGCGAAGGCGGCUCGCUGGGCCGGUCCUGACGCUGAGACGCGAAGGCGUGGGGAGCGAACGGGAUUAGAAACCCUGGUAGUCC